GCUACAACCGCGCAGAUCAGGUUAUAAGAACUUGCUUUGAAAUUAGCAAGACACCUGCAAAUGGCGAGUCUUAGUUGAA
rnacentral:sRNA from 1 species